rnacentral:lncRNA from 1 species
AUGAAGGCAGAAGAACAAUUUUCAUUCCAACCAAAUGGACAAUGCAGUAUUAUAUUUUAUAUCUAUACUAUACUAACCCUAUACUGCUCAUAUCUGACCUGCCUCUUUUUUUUCUUUCCAUCUCUCUCCUCUCCUCUCCUUCUCUCUCCUUUCAUCCCUCUCUCCUCUCCUCCUCUCUCCUCCUACAUCCCUCUCUCCUCUCAUCCUCUCUCCUCACAUCCCUCUCUCCUCUCCUCCUCUCUCCUCUCAUCCCUCUCUCCUCGUCUCUCCUCUCAUCCCUGUCUCCUCUCCUCCUCUCUCCUCUCAUCCCUGCCUCCUCUCCCCUCUCAUCCCUCUCUCCUCUCCUCAUCUCUCCUCUCAUCCCUGUCUCCUCUCCUCCUCACUCCUCUCACCCCUGUCUCCUCCUCUCUCCUCUCAUCCCUGUCUCCUCUCCUCCUCACUCCUCUCACCCCUGUCUCCUCCUCUCUCCUCUCAUCCCUGUCUCCUCUCCUCCUCACUCCUGUCUCCUCCUCUCUCCUCUCAUCCCUGUCUCCUCUCCUCCUCUCUCCUCUCAUCCCUGUCUCCUCUCUCCUCUCCUCCUCUCAUCCAUGUCUCCUCUCCUCCUCUGAUCCCUGUCUCCUCUCCUCCUCUCAUCCCCGUCUCCUCUCCUCCUCUGAUCCCUGUCUCCUCUCCUCCUCUCAUCCCUGUCUCCUCUCCUCCUCUCUCCUCUCAUCCCUGUCUCCUCUCCUCCUCCAUCCCUGUCUCCUUUCCUCCUCUCCUCUCAUCCCUGUCUCCUCUCCUCCUCUCUCCUCUCAUCCCUGUCUCCUCUCCUCCUCUCUCCUCUCCUCUCAUCCCUGUCUCCUCUCCUCCUCUCUCCUCUCAUCCCUGUCUCCUCUCUCCUCUCAUCCCUGUCUCCUCUCCUCCUCUCUCCUCUCCUCUCAUCCCUGUCUCCUCUCUCCUCUCAUCCUUGUUUCCUCUCCUCCUCUCUUCUCUCCUCUCAUCCCUGUCUCCUCUCCUCCUCUCUCGUCUCCUCCUCUCAUCCCUGUCUUCUCUCCUCUCAUCCCUGUCUCCUCUCCUCCUCUCAUCCCCGUCUCCUCUCCUCCUCUCAUCCCCGUCUCCUCUCCUCCUCUCUCCUCUCAUCCCCGUCUCCUCUCCUCCUCUCAUCCCCGUCUCCUCUCCUCCUCUCUCCUCUCAUCCCUGUCUCCUCUCCUCCUCUCUCCUCUCAUCCAUGUCUCCUCUCCUCCUCUCUCCUCUCAUCCUCUCUUCUCCUCCUCUCAUCCCUGUCUCCUCUCCUCCUCUCUCCUAUCCUCCUCUCUCCUCUCCUCUCCUACAGGGGAAGUCUCUCCAGAGAUUCAAGAAGAAGUUGAGAGAAGCUGUCCUCAUAGCAACACAAGCCCAGAGUAUUCCACUCAAGGUUGUCUAGGUUUGGGUUCUGGACUCAACAAACAUCAGACAGAGAGAGCUCAGAGGACAGCGACAUUGCUGGUACACACAAUACUUCACAAAUACUAUACACACACACACUGCACCUGA